ACACACCCAUGAUCAAGACACACAUACACAUACAAAUAAAUUACUGACUCUUACACUAAGAGUUACACAAAAACAUGCUUUUCGUCCACCAAAAAAAUUACUUCAUCAUGAGUCUCUCUCACUCCAAAGUUUCAUAUGAAGAUAUGCGCUAUUCUAAAAAAUAGAGAAGAAUCCUUGCUAAAAGGAAUGAGAUAGAAAAAAAUCGUGCCAAGGAGCUUGACGAAAAGAAAAGAAAAAAUAAAGAUAGCCCAUACUUUCCAAUAAAAGACAUUCAUCCAAAGAGAGAGAGUCAUGAUUGAAUGGAGCACCAAAAAUACUUAGA
rnacentral:lncRNA from 1 species